UUAGGUUUUGGGUUUCAAUUAGGUCCUUGAGAGAUCGAUUAGGUCCCCCACGUUUAAGAGUUUACAUCAAGUUAGGUUCAGACAUCAAAACGGUCCAUUUGUCCAUUAAUUCGUCUAAUGUUAAUGAAAAGGAAUGUUUACAUCAAAUUGGUCCUUUUAUUUUGUAACCCUCCAUCCCAUAGAACCUUUCGUCCUCUUUUUGAAGAGGGGAAACUCUCUCUCUCUCCCUCUCUUAGAAACUGAAGAGCGAGAGCCAAACGAGAAGUUUGUUCAGAGGAAAUCCUCACGAUCAGGGUGUACGAUCAAGGUGUAGGGGUGUUCCAAUCUCCUUCAUCAUCAUGUAGUUUGAUGAAAGGUUUGUGCGCAAGAGCAGACCUGCAUUCAGGCUCUCUGGAGUGACAAACUUGAGUGCAGAAACUCUAAAGGCUGCUAGUAGUGGAACUUCUAAGAGAUUUGCUACUUACUUGAAUCAAAUUGCUCCAAGGACUCCUCCUGCAACAUGAUUGAAGACUGAAGAUGCAAUUGAUGGUUCUUGAAGUGCUAACUAUGAAUUUUUUGUGAAAUUGUUAAUGCAGAUGAUUAUAACUCUGUUGGUUCCAUUGAUUAAGUUGAUGUGGUAUGAAUUAUUGACUGUAUGUAUUGUGAAUGGAUUUACUCAUUUUGUGAAUGACUGGAUUAGUUAUUGACUGGAUAUGGUACACACCUUAGAGGGAUGCAUACAUUUUGUGAAUGAUAGAAUUUGGUGUACGAAUUGUUAACUCAUUUUAUGAUGGUGUUUUUUCCUUUUGAGUUUGACUA